rnacentral:rRNA from 1 species
GGCUUGUACAGGUGCUGCAUGGCUGUCGUCAGCUCGUGUCGUGAGAUGUUCGGUUAAGUCCGCUAACGAGCGCAACCCUCGCUGUGUGUUACAAGUGUCACACGGAACUGCCGGUCAUAAACCGGAGGAAGGUGGGGAUGACGUCAAGUCAGCAUGGCCUUUAUGUCCUGGGCUACACACACGCUACAAUGGCCAACACAAUAGGUUGCUAAGCCGCGAGGUGGAGCCAAUCCUCAAAGUUGGUCUCAGUUCAGAUUGCAGGCUGCAACCCGCCUGCAUGAGGAUGGAGUUGCUAGUAACCGCAGGUCAGCUAUACUGCGGUGAAUACGUUCCCGGGGCUU